UGGGGAAUAUUGGACAAUGGGGGCAACCCUGAUCCAGCGAUGCCGCGUGGGUGAAGAAGGCCUUCGGGUUGUAAAGCCCUUUAGGUCGGGAAGAAGGUUAGUAGAGGAAAUGCUAUUAAUUUGACGGUACCGACAGAAUAAGCACCGGCAAACUCUGUGCCAGCAGCCGCGGUAAUACAGAGGGUGCGAGCGUUAAUCGGAUUUACUGGGCGUAAAGGGCGCGUAGGCGGUGAGAUGUGUGUGAUGUGAAAGCCCCGGGCUCAACCUGGGAAGUGCAUCGCAAACUGUCUGACUGGAGUAUAUGAGAGGGUGGCGGAAUUUCCGGUGUAGCGGUGAAAUGCGUAGAGAUCGGAAGGAACGUCGAUGGCGAAGGCAGCCACCUGGCAUAAUACUGACGCUGAGGCGCGAAAGCGUGGGGAUCGAACA
rnacentral:rRNA from 1 species